CCUACGGGAGGCAGCAGUGAGGAAUAUUGGUCAAUGGACGAGAGCCUGAACCAGCCAAGUAGCGUGAAGGAUGACUGCCCUAUGGGUUGUAAACUUCUUUUAUAUGGGAAUAAAGUGUUCCACGUGUACGACUUUGUAUGUACCAUAUGAAUAAGGAUCGGCUAACUCCGUGCCAGCAGCCGCGGUAAUACGGAGGGUGCGAGCGUUGUCCGGAUUUAUUGGGUUUAAAGGGAGCGUAGGCGGGUUGUUAAGUCAGGUGUGAAAGGUUGGGGCUCAACCGGAAAAUUGCAGUUGAAACUGGCAGACUGGAGUACAGGAGAGGUGAGCGGAAUUCGUGGUGUAGCAGUGAAAUGCUUAGAUAUCACGAAGAACACCGAUGGCGAAGGCAGCUCUCUGGACUGCAACUGACACUGAGGCGCGAAAGUGUGGGUAGCAAACAGGAUUAGAUACCCUGGUAGUC
rnacentral:rRNA from 1 species